AUCGCUUCUCGGCCUUUUGGCUAAGAUCGAGUGUAGUAUCUGUCCUUAGCAGUUUAAUAUCUGGGGCUUCCCUCAUAGCUCAAUCGGUAAAGAAUCCGCC
ensembl:snRNA U2 U2 spliceosomal RNA